rnacentral:pre_miRNA from 1 species
UUUAUACUCCCUUCGUUCGGAAUUACUUGUCUCGAAAAUAGAUAUAUCUAGAACUAAAAUAAGUCUAGAUACAUCUAUUUUUGCGACAAGUAAUUUCGAACGGAGGGAGUAUUCC